CUGAAUUAAAAGAAAUAAAAUUUAGAGAGCCCGAAGUAAGACUAUCUAACUAAAAACUUUAUUUUAGAACAUAAGUACGAAUAAUGUGGCAUAAUUAUGUUGCUAUUUUUAGUUAGGAGUGAAAGGCUAUUCAAUUCUUACUGAUAGCUGGAUGAAACUUUAAAUAUAUUAAGUAUAGUAUAGACAAAUAAAAAGUUCUAAGAUUUUUUAUUAAUAAUAGAUUGAUUUAGCUCUAAAAAAUCUAAUUUGUUAGACCAAAAUAGAAAUAAGGCUCACUAAUCAUUUACUUUCAACUUUCUUUUUAACAUAAGUUUCUAAUAAAUUUAACAGCAUUCUUCAUUAAAUAAUGUUUAGAUUAGUAUUUUCAAAUAAGAAAACAUAAGGAACUCGGCAAAACUAUCUUCAACUGUUUACCAAAAACAUAGCUAACUGUCAAAUUUCAUGGUUAGUUUUUUCUGCCCAGUGAGAAAUUUAACGGCCGCAGUACACUGACUGUGCAAAGGUAGCAUAAUAAAUUGGCUUUUAAUUGGAGUCUUGUAUGAAAGAAUAAAAUGGAGAAUAACUGUCUUAUGUUUUUUAUAAAUAAAUUACUUAGAAAGUGCAAAUACUUUCAAUCAUCUCUAAAAGACGAGAAGACCCUUUAAAUUUUUAAAUAUGUUUAGACUAUAUCUCAAAUUUAUUUUUGUUGGGGCAACAAUUUAACAGAAACCUAAAUCUAAAUUAAUAAUCUAAAUAAAUGUAUCAAGUUUUACUAGUAAAAAAUAAAUUACUAUAGGGAUAACAGCAUAAUUUUUUUAUUAAGAUUGUGACCUCGAUGUUGGAUUAGGAAUCAUUUAGAUGAGUAAUUUAAAUGCUAGGUUCUGUUCGAACUUUUAAUUCCU
rnacentral:rRNA from 1 species